AGGCAGCAGCAAGGAAUAUUGUGCAAUGGGCGAAAGCCUGACACAGCGACGCCGCGUGAGGGAAGAAGGCCUUCGGGUUGUAAACCUCUUUUCUCAGGGAAGAAUAAUGACGGUACCUGGGGAAUAAGUCACGGCUAACUACGUGCCAGCAGCCGCGGUAAUACGUAGGUGGCAAGCGUUAUCCGGAUUUACUGGGUGUAAAGAGGGCGCGGGCGGCUUUUCAAGUCGAAUAUAAAAUCUCCCGGCUUAACUGGGAGGGAUUAUUCGAUACUGUUGGGCUAGAGAGCAGCAGAGGGAGGUGGAAUUCCCGGUGUAGUGGUGAAAUGCGUAGAUAUCGGGAGGAACACCAGUGGCGAAGGCGGCCUCCUGGGCUGUUACUGACGCUGAGGCCCGAAAGCGUGGGGAGCAAACAGGAUAAG
rnacentral:rRNA from 1 species